AGAAAUGGGCGGGAUUGGGAAAAAGACUUUUUCCACCGGUUCUAACCAAACCGGUGGGAAAAGUAUGUUUUUCGCAUCGGUUCUAACAAAACCGGUGGGAAAAGUGAGUAAUUUGUACCGGUUCAUUUCAAACCGGUGGGAAAAGUGUUAUAAAAUAAAAAAAUAAAAACCGCUUAUAUUCUUCUUUCUUUCUCUUUCAAUUCCUCAAUCUUUCCUCCUCUCUCGUCUGCACUACCUCUCUCUCCUCUCCCUCUCCUCCAUUAAAACGAAUCUCUCUGUACUCCUUUCUCUCUCUGUACUCCUUCAUAUCUGUCUCGCUGUACUCCUUCCUCUCUCCCUCCUCCAUUUAAGCGUUUCUCGCUGUACUCCUUCCUCUCUCUCUCCUCUAUUUAAGCGUACUCGAAAUUCUCCAUUGAAGGGGCUUCUGAGCUUUCUCGCCUCCAUUGAAGCAAUCUCUAAGGUUUUGGCGAAACAGCUCACCAACCUCUGGAAUGGAUGUUAAUUCCACAUUGAGGGCUUGUCCUAUAUGUCGCAAGCUUUCGUAUUUUGUCAUUCCAAGUGUGCUUUGGUAUUUUUCGAAAGAGGAGAAAGAUGAAACUGUUGACAGUUUCAUGGCCAAGCUCAAGUCAGACUAUGUUGAAACAGUGAAAACAGCUCGUUGGGGGUAUAGUACUCGUCCUGGGGCAAUGUCAGUUCAAAACAAAAAUCCACUGCAGGUUGGCUUGCUGCUUUUCCUGUUUUUGAACCUCAUUGGCAAGUAUGCAUGGUAGGGGGACUGUCAACAGGUGGGAGUGCACCAUGCUGGAAUUUUCUAUGAAUUUGUACCAUGGAAUAGGUUUGUUGAGUGGGAGAUUGCAUUAUGUGGCUAUUGGAAGAUUUCGGCUGAUAAUGGAUCAUACCUAGUAGGCUGUAACUCGUAACAGUAGGCAGCACCUACAACAAGUAGCAAAAUGCACCAGCCAGAACUGCAAAACAGGCAGCAUAUAGCUAUCGGAACCAUUUUUUUUUUUUAGUUUUUUAAAGUGUAAUAUUACAAGUUAUU